GAUGAAGAACGUAGCAAAUUGCGAUAAGUAUUGUGAAUUGCAUUAUUAGUGAAUCAUCGAAUCUUUGAACGCAUCUUGCGCUCUGGGGCUAUUCCCCAGAGCAUGACUGUUUGAGGGUUGUGUAUAUCAUCAUCCCCCUCCGAGUGGAAACACUAUGGAGUGAUUUUUGGGUAUGGAUAUUGGCUUGUUGUAGGAAUCUUUGAUUUCUACUAAGCUGAAAAACAUCAGUGGCUGAUUUCCAAUUUCUGGUAGCACGUAGUAAUGGCGUUAUAGUUUAUAUUCGCUGAUACUUUAUGUACAACCAUAAGAUUUUGGAGCUAUAAAGGCCUCUUCGAAGUAACACACACUUUUAACUCUUCAACCUCAAAUCAGUUAGGACUACCCGCUGAACUUAAGCAUAUCAAUAAGCGGAGGA
rnacentral:misc_RNA from 1 species